rnacentral:rRNA from 1 species
UACGGAAGAUGCGAGCGUUAUCCGGAUUUAUUGGGUUUAAAGGGAGCGUAGGCGGGCUUUUAAGUCUGCGGUUAAAUGUCGGUGCUCAACGCCGUCAUGCCGUGGAAACUGGAGGUCUUGAAUGCACUCGAGGCAAGUGGAAUUCGUGGUGUAGCGGUGAAAUGCUUAGAUAUCACGAAGAACUCCGAUAGCGAAGGCAUCUUGCUGGGGUGUGAUUGACGCUGAGGCUCGAAAGUGCGGGUAUCGAACA